rnacentral:rRNA from 1 species
UAGGGAAUCUUCGGCAAUGGACGAAAGUCUGACCGAGCAACGCCGCGUGAGUGAAGAAGGCUUUCGGAUCGUAAAACUCUGUUGUUAGAGAAGAACAAGGACGUUAGUAACUGAACGUCCCCUGACGGUAUCUAACCAGAAAGCCACGGCUAACUACGUGCCCGCAGCCGCGGUAAUACGUAGGUGGCAAGCGUUGUCCGGAUUUAUUGGGCGUAAAGCGAGCGCAGGCGGUUUCUUAAGUCUGAUGUGAAAGCCCCCGGCUCAACCGGGGAGGGUCAUUGGAAACUGGGAGACUUGAGUGCAGAAGAGGAGAGUGGAAUUCCAUGUGUAGCGGUGAAAUGCGUAGAUAUAUGGAGGAACACCAGUGGCGAAGGCGGCUCUCUGGUCUGUAACUGACGCUGAGGCUCGAAAGCGUGGGGAGCAAACAGG